UCCCAGGUAGCUCAGCGGUAGAGCCCUCGACUGUUAAUCGAGUUGUCGCCAGUUCGAAUCUGGCCCUGGGAG
rnacentral:tRNA from 1 species